UAAUUAAAAUUAAAAUUAAUUGAUAAUUCCUCAUGAUACAAUAUUAGAUUGUAAUCAAUCAUUCGCAUGGGAAAAAAUAUUAUUAGCCUAACAAAAAAUAUUUCUUCUCAAAGAUAGUUAACAAGUGUUAUUACAGAGACAUACAUUCGGACGUAGAGUGACUCCUUGAAUGUGGCUGCCAAGUGCCUCUCGCUCUCGUUUUCUCCGCUUCAAGACUUUCGCCAGUUACCGAUUAGAAAUCUUAUGUUUAUUUUUGACGGGUUAAUAAUAGUAUUCUUUAAUGUUGUGUUGCAGUGAAAAGGAAAAAAUUACUAAUAAAUCAACACAAGAAAGUUCGAACAAAAUAAUUAACAAACAAAAGAAGAACAAAAAGUCAAGAUUGAUCGUUUACAUAAGGAAAGAUCAAGUUAAGACAAAGCUGGAUGAAGCGUCAUUAAGGAAGGUCUCAAAUCUAUCCGGAUGGACGGAUAAGGCAAGGACUGAGACCCGUUCUUUCUUCCAGAUUGAAUCAGGAAGCGAAUCGCGUGAUCUACUAUGAUACUUUGAAAGCGAGCAUUGAUGUAGAAGGUAUCGAUUGAUUCUUUGAACUGUUUUAAAAUUCCUCCACAACAAUAUCUACUAAAGUUAAUUUGUCACGGUAGUCUGAAAAUCUAGCUCGUCAGUCGAAACAACGAAUCAAGGCCGGCCAGAAACACGUAUCAAGUUGCCAACUGUAUUAGUCUUCUAAUCGAACACAUUCUAAGGUCGUUUAAUGGUACACGUCUAGUUAAUUUAAUUCAUAUUGCACGUAAUUUAUCUCCUCCCCUGGGGAGAAAACAAUUAAUUAUCUCCACAUGAAAUAAGUCCUUUAUGGGAAUUGAGAAUUAUCUUAUCGGCGAAUUGAGAGUGAAUUAUAUCAGAAGAAUAAAUAUAUAUAUAAGAAACCAACCAAAGUUUAGUUGGGAUACAUAAGAUUUGCAGUUCAUUUGCAUGUUUACUUAUUUGAAGAAAAAUUUCAUGAAAUCGACUAAGAAGAAGAAAUACUUGUGUUUUCAAAUAUAAAUCUAGUUUAAAAGUGAUAAGGAAUCAAAGGAGAUGGCGAAAAAUGAUUAAUCCGAGUUAAUUUUCA